rnacentral:rRNA from 1 species
GACUAGUAUGAACGGCUUCACGAAGGCUAUACUGUCUCCCUUAUCUAAUCAGUUAAACUAAUCUCCCCGUGAAGAAGCGGGGAUUCACAUAUAAGACGAGAAGACCCUAUGGAGCUUAAAACACCUCUAAACAUUUGACCUCCACACUACUAUUUUCAGAAAUCUUCACAAAGCCCGUCAUUUUGUUUUAAGUUUUAGGUUGGGGUGACCGCGGAGAAUAACCUAACCUCCACGUAGAAAGAACUUUCUUUUCUAAGCAAAAAGCUACAUCUUUAUGCAUCAACAUAUUGACCUAAUUGACCCAAUUAUUUGAUCAACGAACCAAGUUACCCU